AAACCCCGUUUUUGAUACAUGUGCUUGGAAGCUGUCGAGAGCAUCAUUGUUCAGGACAUUUUUCAAAUUCUUAUUGGUACAUACAGUAUAUAUAAUACCCCAGUUAAUGAGCCCUGCUAUCAUCUGUGCUUUUACAACUCCUGUGAAAGCUGAAUAUCCAUCAAUAAAAGUUCACCAUAUUCUUCUCUGAUGAGUAACCUUUAAAGGAAAAAAUGGGAAAACAUAAUACAGAAAGCAAAAAGAAAUUCAGACAAAGGAAAAGGAAAGAAAAGAGGCAAAAGAAGAAACAGCUUAAGAAAGCAAGUAUUGAAAAAAACCACAUUUGCCUCUGCAAUGCUUCAUCCUGUCCAGACAGAGCAACAAUGUCUUUUAUGUCUUCUUCAUCACCACCCCCAUCAUCAUCACCACAAUCAUCAUCAACAUUAUCACAACAAUCAUCAGUAAAACCAAAAGAUAAUCAGAAUUUAAUAACAUUC